GUUGAUCCAGAUGUGCAACAGGUCCUGACCCGGCACAGCUGGAAGUUAUCUGGAGCACCAGGACUUUUCCCAGUAGAGGAAACACUGAGUCUGGAGUCGCUCCACAUCCUCGUCUCCGGCAAGAACCGAGUCCAUGACUCAAACAGACUUUGUGACGUACUCACGAACAUAUGGGACCUGUGAUCGGACCUCCUCCUGAAGCUGAUCCGGGGUCAGCUCUCUGACCAAAUAACAGCUUGUUGUCCCGUAACCAUGACGAAGCUCAGACUGAAACACCAGCAUCUGAAGCUCCUGUGGCAGGUGAACAGGUCAGAGGUCACAUGAUGCUACUCAGC